ACUCAAAGGAAUAGACGGGGACCCGCACAAGCAGUGGAGUAUGUGGUUUAAUUCGAAGAUACGCGAAAAACCUUACCAGGUCUUGACAUCCGACUAACGAGGCAGAGAUGCAUUAGGUGCCCUUCGGGGAAAGUCGAGACAGGUGGUGCAUGGUUGUCGUCAGCUCGUGUCGUGAGAUGUUGGGUUAAGUCCCGCAACGAGCGCAACCCUUGCGGUUAGUUGCUACGAAAGAGCACUCUAACAGGACUGCCGUUGACAAAACGGAGGAAGGUGGGGAUGACGUCAAAUCAUCAUGCCCCUUAUGACCUGGGCUACACACGUACUACAAUGGCUGUUAACAGAGGGACGCAAUGGAGCGAUCCGGAGCAAAUCCCUAAAAGCAGUCUCAGUUCAGAUUGCAGGCUGAAAUUCGCCUGUAUGAAGAUGGAAUUGCUAGUAAUCGCGAAUCAGCAUGUCGCGGUGAAUACGUUCCCGGGUCUUGUACACACCGCCCGU
rnacentral:rRNA from 1 species